rnacentral:lncRNA from 1 species
CGUUGGUGUGCGCAAGAUCCGGAGAAGAUAAAAGAGAGGUUUGAGUCCGUGGAUUCGGUAAAUCACCUUGUAAUCUUUUAUUUCAUAAUGGAUUGUUAUCGCGUGUUGGUCCCGUGGAUUUUUUACUCCUUGUUGGAGUUUUUCCACGUAAAUCUCGGUGUGCUGGUUUUUAUUUUCCGCAUUUAUUUUUUAUCGCAUUGAGAUUUGUUGUUUUUGGCUUUUACACCUAUUCUCCUAUCUCUAGGUGUUUUGAUAGUAUUCUAGAUAAAAGAUCCUAAGGUUUCCGCAUAACUUACACAUUAGGCACAUAUUCAAAAAAUUAACAAGAUUGAAAUAUUAUCCUCGACAUAACGGGAUCGAAAACUUCGCUAUACUCGUAAUCAUCACCUAGUGUUGGUUCAAAAUAUUACAAUCUUAUUAAUUUUCUAUUAAUUUUGAAACUUAUCCAAAAGUUGGAUCAUCCAUUUUGAAAGAACAUAUCCUUUUCUUUUAAAAAAAAUAAUUAUUUAUUUAUUUUGAGAACUUAUCUCAUAAUAUCACCACACAGAUAAAAAAAUAAGUACUUAUGUCAAAAUUUAAAUUAAAAAAACGUCGACGCUGCGCAAAACUUAUUUCUUUACACGGCCUUAAUUAUUACAUCACUUUUUGCAUACUAAAACCAACUACCUCACUAUAAGAUGUACAUCAGAAAAGGAAUGUUCUACCGGAAUGCUACACACGUCGAACCCGUUUUUCCAAAAUUAAAUUUUGUUGAAAAAACACCGAAAUAACUUAAGUACUUAUAUGCCAAAAAUUUAUACAAUCACAUGCUACAUAAGCAAUUAAAAUGCACCCACAUGG